rnacentral:rRNA from 1 species
CCUACGGGAGGCUGCAGUGGGGAAUAUUGCACAAUGGGGGGAACCCUGAUGCAGCGACGCCGCGUGGGUGAAGGAGUAUUUCGGUAUGUAAAGCCCUAUCGGCAGGGAAGAAGCAAGACGGUACCUGACUAAGAAGCCCCGGCUAACUACGUGCCAGCAGCCGCGGUAAUACGUAGGGGGCGAGCGUUAUCCGGAUUCACUGGGUGUAAAGGGAGCGUAGACGGUGAUGUAAGUCUGGAGUGAAAGGCGGGGGCCCAACCCCCGGACUGCUCUGGAAACUAUGUGACUGGAGUGCAGGAGAGGUGAGCGGAAUUCCUAGUGUAGCGGUGAAAUGCGUAGAUAUUAGGAGGAACACCAGUGGCGAAGGCGGCUCACUGGACUGUAACUGACGUUGAGGCUCGAAAGCGUGGGGAGCAAACAGGAUUAGAUACCCUUGUAGUC